rnacentral:rRNA from 1 species
CUACGGGGCGCUGCAGUGGGGAAUAUUGGACAAUGGACGAAAGUCCGAUCCAGCGACACCGCGUGGGGGAUGAAGGCUUUCGGGUUGUAAACCCCUUUUCUGGAGGAAGAAUAAGGUUGGGAGGAAAUGCCCAUCCGAUGACGGUACUCCAGGAAUAAGCAUCGGCAAACUUCGUGCCAGCAGCCGCGGUAAGACGAAGGAUGCGAGCGUUAUCCGGAAUUACUGGGCGUAAAGGACGUCUAGGCGGUUGGAUAAGUCAUUUGUGAAAUCCCAGGGCUUAACCCUGGAAGGUCUUGUGAUACUGUCCGGCUUGGGUGUAGGAGAGGAGAGCGGAACUCACAGAGUAGCGGUGGAAUGCGUAGAUACUGUGAGGUACCCCGAUGGCGAAGGCAGCUCUCUGGCCUACUACCGACGCUGAAGCGUGAAAGCGUGGGGAGCAAAGGGGAUUAGAUACCCCCGUAGUC